CAUCUCUGAAAGACGACUGAG
rnacentral:misc_RNA from 1 species